AGUCCGUAAAAUUGUGCCACAUUUACAAGUUAACGGCUAUUUAAUCGAUUACACCAAGUGUAUUUUUAGAUCGAAAUGAAGCUUAUUAACAUUCGCUCUAAAGUCGGAGCUUAAAUAAAGCGCCGCGGCUGAGUAUAAGGAGCGCUGUUAAAUCACGGGAGCUGUAAUAUCCUGCACGCGAGCGGACAUCUGAGGGAGCGCCGCUCGGUCUCCACCGGUGGGAAAGGAGAAAAGCCCAUUAAACCGUCUGACUGCCAGCCUGCCAUUGCAGUGAAGAAUGUGGACGUUAGAAGUGAAUGUGCCGCACUCGACUAAGCGUUUCAUCUCAUCUGCAGAUGCGCCCCCAGCAGCACACCUGGCGACCGCACUCGCAAUCCGAGCGGGCCGCCACAAGAGUGGAAUGCUUCGCGGCGGCUUUCUGAAGGGGCGGCUAUAGACCGCACCCACCUCCACAUCACGGCGGUCAGAGCGAUGGAGCGACCACGGAGGCAUCCUGCCGACACACGUUGCCGUGACGUCCUCGCGCCGCUGCGCACUGGGGCUGCCGGCUGGCGUACCGCCAUCACGCCCGGCAGAGCCGAUGAGCCUGUCCAACGGCGGUGUUCGUCAGAACGACUGGAGCUCAUGGGGUGACACCGAGGCCCUGCCACUGCGAGAAGAA